UAGUAAUUUAUAAUUUGAAUUAUCGACAAAUAUUUUUGUUGGUAACUUGUUUGACGACAGAUUUUGUCAAUAGUUUAUAACUCUUAUUAUCGACAAAGUUUUUCAUUGUUAAAUUGAGUGGUAAAUUUUUUUUCAAGUUUAAUGAUAUAUUUUAUAUAUUAAAGGAAGAUGGGUCAAAAGAAUAAGAGAACAAGAGAAAGAAGAGGAAGAAGAGAAGGAUAACUUGAAACUGGUGUAAAAGUGUGACGAUGACUUAGUGAUACAAUAAUAAUAACAAGUCUCGACAACAAUGGAGGGGUUUGAUGAAAGUGGGAACCAAAAUUUAAAGACAAUGAUAAGGAAGAAGAAAAGAAGAAUAAGAGAAAGAAAAAGAAAAAAAGAAGAGGAAAGAAGGAGAGAAGGAAGAAGACAAAAACGAAAAAAAAAGAGAUAAAAAAAAGAAAAAAAGAAAAAAAGAACUCAAUCGUAAUUUUCAUCGAUGAUUAAAAUUUGUUGAUAAUUUAUCAACAAAUAUAUAUUAACUAAUUUAUCAACAAAUUUAUAAUAAUUGAUAAUUAUCGACAAAUUUCUAAAUUUACAAAUAAAAUUUAUCCAUGAAUAUUAUUUAAUAAAUUAUAAUCUUCUAAUUCAUCAAUAAACUUAAAUUUCUAUAAGGCUUUUUACUAUUAAUAAAGGAUAGUAAUAUAGUAUAUAUAUGUAGAGCAGGAU
rnacentral:lncRNA from 1 species